AGGAUUCCCCUAGUAACUGCGAGUGAAGCGGGAAAAGCUCAAAUUUGAAAUCUGGCAGUCUUUUUUUUCUUCUUUGGCUGUCCGAGUUGUAAUCUAGAGAAGUGCUUACCUGCGCUGGACCAUGUAUAAGUCUCCUGGAAUGGAGCGUCACAGAGGGUGAGAAUCCCGUCUUUGACAUGGACUGCCAGUGUGUUGUGGUGUGCUCUCAAAGAGUCGAGUUGUUUGGGAAUGCAGCUCUAAAUGGGUGGUAAACUCCAUCUAAAGCUAAAUAUUGGCGAGAGACCGAUAGUGAACAAGUACCGUGAGGGAAAGAUGAAAAGGACUUUGGAAAGAGAGUUAAACAGUAUGUGAAAUUGUUGAAAGGGAAACGCUUGAAGUCAGUUAUGUUGGCUAGGGAUCAACCUAGCUAAUUUUUUUGCUGGGUGAAUUUCCUAGUCUGACAGGCCAACAUCAGUCUUGACUGCUGGAAAAGAGCAGAGGGAAUGUGGCACCUUUGGGUGUGUUAUAGCCCUUUGUCAUAUGUGGCAGUUGGGACUGAGGGAUGCAGCAUGCCGUGAGGCUGGGUUUUUAACCACGUUCAUGCUUAGGAUGUUGGCUUUUAAUGGCUUCAAUCGACCCGUCUUGAAACACGGACCAAGGAGUCUAACAUGCCUGCGAGUGUUUGGGUGGGGAAAACCCUUGUGCACAAUGAAAGUGAAAGUUGAGAUCCCUGUCAUGGGGAGCAUCGACGCCCGGACCUGAGCUUUUAGCGACGGAUCCGCGGUAGAGCAUGCAUGUUGGGACCCGAAAGAUGGUGAACUAUGCCUGAAUAGGGCAAAGCCAGAGGAAACUCUGGUGGAGGCUCGUAGCGAUUCUGACGUGCAAAUCGAUCGUCAAAUUUGGGUAUAGGGGCGAAAGACUAAUCGAACCAUCUAGUAGCUGGUUCCUGCCGAAGUUUCCCUCAGGAUAGCAGAAGCUUAUUAUCAGAUUUAUGUGGUAAAGCGAAUGAUUAGAGGCCUUGGGGUUGAAACAACCUUAACCUAUUCUCAAACUUUAAAUAUGUAAGAACGAGUUGUCACUUGACUGGACUGCUCG
rnacentral:rRNA from 1 species